AUGUGGAUGUACCAGAGUGGGGAACAUUUGAGGGGAAGGCCUCCAGGGUUGUGAUGGAGGGGACAGAGGCUGGUAUUAGUAUGAUGGAUAUGCUAAAUGGAGGUGAGGAGAAUGUAUGUGAGGUGGGAGUGAAUGUGGAGGAGGUUAAGGGAGGAGGAGGGAAAAGUACAGGGAAUGCUGUGGAAUAUGUGGUGUCACAAGUAGGCAGAACUUGGCUAGAACCCAUCCAGGAGGAAGACCUUGAGGAAGAUGAAGAAACAGAUGAGGAGCUUCAGGAAGCAGAAGACACUGAUGCUGCCACAGUGGACAGUUGGCAGUGCAUGGCGGCAUAUGUAGCCAGAAUAUGGCUGCAGACUUUACAGGAAGAUGGACCUGAGGAAAAUGAAGAAGCUGAUGUGGUAUUCCAGCAGGCAGAAGAUGCUGAUGCUACCACACUGGUCAGGUUUCAGUGUAUGGUGGCAUCUGAAGACAGAUCACAGCUACUGACUAUACCAGAAGAAGGACCUGAGGAAGAGGACGAGACUGAAGUGAUGAAGACAGAUAAAACAAAAGAAGAUGCUGAUGCUGCCGAGAAGAUCUACAGUGAAGAAGUAUCAUUCCAUGUGAAUGCCGAAGAUCUUUCUGAAGAUGAUACUGAGAAGAGCCACAAGAAGAAGAAGAAGAAGAUGAAGUGGUGCUUCUUCUGCUGUCCCCUGCCCUUCAGAAGAAGUAGCAAGAGGCAGUAAUUAUAAGGUUGUGAAUUCAGGUUUACAAAUGACUUAAAGCAGUAAUAUAACUGCAUUAUUGACACCUUCACAAUGCACUGUAAUGCAUCCAUAAAUAUAUUAUAGACAUGGGUAUAAAUAUUGAAGAAAAAAAAGCAUAACACAUUAUAGCCAUGUUUAUUAUGGAUUAAUGGCCGAUAUAAUGUAUUAUGAAGAUAUUUAUUGUGUAUAUAUAGAUCAGAGCAUUCAUAAUGCAUUAUCAAGAUAGCUAUAAUGUGUUAUGCCUUUGUAUAAGUAUUUACAGCCGUGUUUUUAAUACUUUUAUAAAUGAUUUAUAAGGCAUUAAUUGGGUAUUUAUUUAUUUAUUUAUUAGUUAUAUGACUGCUUUAAGUAAAGUUAAGUAAAGUGUUUAUUUUCUUUUUCUUAGAAUACCCGUGUUAGAGCCCUGCAUUGGGACUGGGAUCCCGCGGGACCCAACGGAAAGUGAUACUGUUUAAGUGUUAAUGUAGCUAUAAGAUACGAUAGGAUAAGAUAUGCUGAGUUAAAAUAUAAGAUAGGUUAACAUGAAAUAUAUUAAUAUAAGCUAAGUUGAAAUAUAAUAAGAUAAGAUAGGUUAAGUUAUAUGAUAAGAUAGGCUAAGUUAAAAUAUAAUAAGAUAGGUUAAGUUAAGAUAUGACAAGAUAGGCUAAGAUAAAAUAUGAUAGGCUAAGUUAACAUAUGAUAAGAUAGGUUAAGUUAAGAUAUGACAAUAUAGGC